rfam:Talaromyces stipitatus ATCC 10500 scf_1105507295487 genomic scaffold, whole genome shotgun sequence.
GGCGAGGUGGCAGAGUGGUCUAAUGCGCUAGACUAGAAAUCUAGUUCCUUCGGGAGCGUGUGUUCAAAUCACACCCUCGUCG